AUGAACGCUGGCGGCGUGCCUAAUACAUGCAAGUCGAGCGAACGGACGAGAAGCUUGCUUCUCUGAUGUUAGCGGCGGACGGGUGAGUAACACGUGGAUAACCUACCUAUAAGACUGGGAUAACUUCGGGAAACCGGAGCUAAUACCGGAUAAUAUUUUGAACCGCAUGGUUCAAAAGUGAAAGACGGUCUUGCUGUCACUUAUAGAUGGAUCCGCGCUGCAUUAGCUAGUUGGUAAGGUGACGGCUUACCAAGGCAACGAUGCAUAGCCGACCUGAGAGGGUGAUCGGCCACACUGGAACUGAGACACGGUCCAGACUCCUACGGGAGGCAGCAGUAGGGAAUCUUCCGCAAUGGGCGAAAGCCUGACGGAGCAACGCCGCGUGGGUGAUGAAGGUCUUCGGAUCGUAAAACUCUGUUAUUAGGGAAGAACAUAUGUGUAAGUAACUGUGCACAUCUUGACGGUACCUAAUCAGAAAGCCACGGCUAACUACGUG
rnacentral:rRNA from 1 species